GUGGGGAAUAUUGGACAAUGGGCGAAAGCCUGAUCCAGCCAUGCCGCGUGUGUGAAGAAGGUCUUCGGAUUGUAAAGCACUUUAAGUUGGGAGGAAGGGCAGUAAGUUAAUACCUUGCUGUUUUGACGUUACCGACAGAAUAAGCACCGGCUAACUUCGUGCCAGCAGCCGCGGUAAUACGAAGGGUGCAAGCGUUAAUCGGAAUUACUGGGCGUAAAGCGCGCGUAGGUGGUUUUGUAAGUUGGAGGUGAAAUCCCCGGGCUCAACCUGGGAACUGCUUUCAAAACUGCUGAGCUAGAGUACGGUAGAGGGUGGUGGAAUUUCCUGUGUAGCGGUGAAAUGCGUAGAUAUAGGAAGGAACACCAGUGGCGAAGGCGACCACCUGGACUGAUACUGACACUGAGGUGCGAAAGCGUGGGGAGCAAACAGGAUUAGAUACCCGAGAGUCC
rnacentral:rRNA from 1 species